GACGAACCGAGCGAACGUUAUUCGGAAUCACUGGGCUUAAAGGGCGCGUAGGCGGGCCGGCAAGUCAGGGGUGAAAGCCCCCAGCUCAACUGGGGAAGUGCCUCUGAUACUGCCGGCCUCGAGGGAGGUAGGGGCGUGCGGAACUUCCGGUGGAGCGGUGAAAUGCGUAGAUAUCAGGAGGAACACCGGUGGUGUAGACGGCUUACUGGACCACGACUGACGCUGAGGCACGAAAGCGUGGGUAGCAAACAGG
rnacentral:rRNA from 1 species